UUUUUCCAGAGUGCAUGAAAAGAUCACAAGAGUUGUUGUGCUCUCGAUAUUUCAGGCACCGUGCAAGAGAAAGAAAGAGCUUUGCUCUCCUCGAACUCUCAACCAAAUUGAAGAUAGACGGAUGCUUGCCUUCCAAUCCAACGCUAUCACAAAUCCUUUUGACCAAUCUUGUUGCUGUCCGCUGGCUGAGGUUGCUUCGUCCAAUUGGCAACACAUACCUUGCAACAUGUGGUUCUCAAGCUCCAUGAACAAUGUCUCAACUGUCUACCUCGAGAGACUCACCCCAAU
rnacentral:lncRNA from 1 species